rnacentral:lncRNA from 1 species
UUUUUCCCAGUUGCAACCCAUUUAUUAAUAUGCACCUCUUGUUUCUAUUUUUAUUUUAUUUAUUUUAUUUUUGAUGUAGUUUAAUUAUUUGAAUUAUUAAUUUUUUAUCUAAUUAGUUACUUUUAUUUGUUUUAACUGUUAGGAGGGAUUAUUUGAUUGUUUGUUUAGUUAUUGAAUUAUAUGAUCCACGUUUAUAGGAUAAUGUAAAAUAAUUUGAUUGUUGUUGCCUUUAUUUUCAUUGCAUUUUGAUUUCGAAAGUUUAAAUUCAACUUAAUUUUUG